rnacentral:lncRNA from 1 species
AAGCCCAGCAAUUCCUGGGACCGAGGCCAGAGAGAAGUUUCUUCCACGGGUCCGCUGGCCCCAUGCCGAUGACUCACAAGCUGCACCCUCAACGUUAGCCCUCCUGCGGGGAAAUUAACAGGUUUCCUAGGAUUUUCUGUAAUAGCAUCCCACAGGAUUCGGUGGACGGCACUGUGCCAAAGUCAACUUUUUGUGGGGGAGGAGAUUUUAACAUUUCUGGUUUACGUAUGAGUAUAUUGCUACUUUUAAGUGAACCUAAUUGGGUCAUGAAAGCGGGACCUGGCAAUGACUGGUUAUCAGUAGAUACCAAUACCAACAGCAUUUUCUUGGGUAAUUACUAUGACACAAACUGUGUGCUAACCCAUUUUUUACAUAUAACAAGGUGGGUAUAUUAUUUUCUCUCUUUUACAAUGGAAGAAAUAGACCUAAAAGGAUGAUUGUAACUUGCCCAAAUGUGUGCCAUAAAUGGCCAAAAAGGCCAAGUGCCCCUGGCCGUCUGACCCCAGCCCACACCUAACCCCCUCUACACAUCAUCCCCUGUGGCAACGGCUUCCCAAUCUUUUUGACUGAGACUCACAUGUAGGUCAUUAGAUAUAAAACUAACACAGCUGUGUCACAAAUAGUCCCGAUCCUCACUAUUUAGUUGAGCAUCAAUAUUUUCUAUUUUAUUUUACUUUAAAAGAAUGCUGGUCAGAGACCCACUAAGUUGAUUUCGCAACCUCCUAGUAGGUCACAAUUCUCCAGUUUGAAAAACACUACACCACUGCCUCAUAGUGUAAACAAACGAAGAUUUAAGGAGCCACAGCCUACGCUGUGGAUUAGCUCUUCCAAUCCCAGUGCCCUCCUCCCUCCCUUGCCUGCCUUCACUAAAGCAUCCAGAAAAGCCAAAUGCUCUUUUCUCUGCCUCCCAGGCCAUGGGACAUAGCUCUGGUCACUGAGAUGAAAGCUGACAGAAGGACUUCAGAAAAAGCUUUGGCUUUCUGGAUAAAAAGCCCCUUUCCCCUGGCUUCCUGCCUUGAAUAAAGAUGUGACGCCAGGAACUCAGGCAGCCUUCUUGUAAUCAUGAGAUAAAAGCCAAGAGAACCAGGGAAAGGCUGGCACCAAGCUCACAGAGCUGCUAAAUCAGCAUCAGCAGCCACCCUUCUUGUUAUGUAAGAGAAGUGAACCCCUAUUUGUUUCACCACACGUAGGUUUUCUAUUAUUUGCAGCUGAAAACAUUCCUAACUAAUAACAUAAUAACCAAAAACCCCCAAACCUCAAACAGGUAGGUCCUCCUGUGUUAAACCCUGUGCUUCAUUGUCUGGUGAGCAAUAAAGACACUUGCACUUGGAAAUACUAAAAUAGAUUUUAAAAAACCAACCUAUUAAAUAGUUCAUCUAUUUAAGGUCGUAGUUCG